GAUGAAGACCGUAGCGAAAUGCGAUAAGUAGUGUGAAUUGCAGAAGUACCGUGAAUCAUCGAAUCUUUGAACGCAAAUUGCACUCUCUGGUAUUCCGGGGAGUAUGCCUGUUUGAGGGUCGCUUAACAAACCAUCGAUUUCGUUGCUUUUUUUUUAAAAAGUGAUGUUUAUCGGAUUUGAGCCGUCUUUUUUUUUAUAUUUAAGUGGCUUAAAAUUGAUUUUUUUGGUACGAUCGAAGCGUAUUUUUAUGAUCAAUUUUUGGUUAAAGAAACGCACGCGUACCGUUAUUUAUAUGAUGUAAUACGUUUGACUAUUGGAUUUAGUUCAUUCGUAUACGAUAUUUUUCAAUAUUUGACCUCAAAUCAGGUAAGAACACCCGCUGAACUUAAGCAUAUCAAUAAGCGGAGGA
rnacentral:misc_RNA from 1 species